rnacentral:rRNA from 1 species
GAUGAACGCUGGCGGCGUGCCUAAUACAUGCAAGUCGAGCGAACGGACGAGAAGCUUGCUUUUCUGAUGUUAGCGGCGGACGGGUGAGUAACACGUGGAUACCCUACCUAUAAGACUGGGAUAACUUCGGGAAACCGGAGCUAAUACCGGAUAAUAUUUUGAACCGCAUGGUUCAAAAGUGAAAUACGGUCUUGCUGUCACUUAUAGAUGGAUCCGCGCUGCAUUAGCUAGUUGGUAAGUUAACGGCUUACCAGGGCAACGAUGCAUAGCCGACCUGAGAGGGUGAUAGGCCACACGGGAACGGAGACACGGACAAGACUACUACGGGAGGCAGCAGUAGGGAAUCGUCCGCAAUGGGCGAAAGCCUGACGGAGCAACGCCGAGUGAGUGAUGAAGGUCUUCGGAUCGUAAAACUCUGUUAUUAGGGAAGAACAUAUGUGUAAGUAAAUGUGCACAUCUUGACGGUACCUAAUCAGAAAGCAACGGCUAACUACGUG